rnacentral:rRNA from 1 species
AACGAACGCUGGCGGCAUGCCUAACACAUGCAAGUCGAACGAGAUCUUCGGGUCUAGUGGCGCACGGGUGCGUAACGCGUGGGAAUCUGCCCUUGGGUUCGGAAUAACUUCGGGAAACUGAAGCUAAUACCGGAUGAUGACGUAAGUCCAAAGAUUUAUCGCCCAAGGAUGAGCCCGCGUAGGAUUAGCUAGUUGGUGAGGUAAAGGCUCACCAAGGCGACGAUCCUUAGCUGGUCUGAGAGGAUGAUCAGCCACACUGGGACUGAGACACGGCCCAGACUCCUACGGGAGGCAGCAGUGGGGAAUAUUGGACAAUGGGCGCAAGCCUGAUCCAGCCAUGCCGCGUGAGUGAAGAAGGCCUCGGUUGGUAAG